rnacentral:rRNA from 1 species
AGUUUGAUCCUNGGUCAGNACGAANGCNGGNNGGCGNGCNUNAUACAUGCAAGUCGAGAGAAUNGAUGGGAGCNUGCUCCCUGAGAUUAGCGGCGGGCGGGUGAGUUACACGUGGGCAACCUGCCUAUNAGACUNGGAUAACUUCGGGGAAACCGGAGCUAAUACCGGAUACGUUCUUUUNUUGCAUGAGAGAAGAUGGAAAGACGGUUUACGCUGUCACUUAUAGAUGGGCCCGCGGCGCAUUAGCUAGUUGGUGAGGUAAUGGCUCACCAAGGCGACGAUGCGUAGCCGACCUGAGAGGGUGAUCGGCCACACUGGGACUGAGACACGGCCCAGACUCCUACGGGAGGCAGCAGUAGGGAAUUUUCCGCAAUGGACGAAAGUCUGACGGAGCAACGCCGCGUGAACGAAGAAAGCCUUCGGGUCNUAAAGUUNUGUUGUUAGGGAAGAACAAGUACCAGAGUAACUGCUGGUACCUUGACGGUACCUAACCAGAAAGCCACGGCUAACUACGUGCCAGCAGCCGCGGUAAUACGUAGGUGGCAAGCGUUGUCCGGAAUUAUUGGGCGUAAAGCGCGCGCAGGUGGUUCCUUAAGUCUGAUGUGAAAGCCCACGGCUCAACCGUGGAGGGUCAUUGGAAACUGGGGAACUUGAGUGCAGAAGAGGAAAGUGGAAUUCCAAGUGUAGCGGUGAAAUGCGUAGAGAUUUGGAGGAACACCAGUGGCGAAGGCGACUUUCGGUCUG